rnacentral:rRNA from 1 species
GACGAACGCUGGCGGCGUGCUUAACACAUGCAAGUCGAACGGAAAGGCCCUUCGGGGUACCCGAGUGGCGAACGGGUGAGUAACACGUGGGUAACCUGCCCUCAGCUUCGGGAUAACUCCGGGAAACCGGGGCUAAUACCGGAUAUUCAUUGUCUGCCGCAUGGUGGGUGGUGGAAAGUUUUUUCGGCUGGGGAUGGGCCCGCGGCCUAUCAGCUUGUUGGUGGGGUGAUGGCCUACCAAGGCGUCGACGGGUAGCCGGCCUGAGAGGGCGACCGGCCACACUGGGACUGAGACACGGCCCAGACUCCUACGGGAGGCAGCAGUGGGGAAUAUUGCGCAAUGGGCGGAAGCCUGACGCAGCGACGCCGCGUGAGGGAUGACGGCCUUCGGGUUGUAAACCUCUUUCAGCAGGGACGAAUGUAGACGGUACCUGUAGAAGAAGCACCGGCCAACUACGUGCCAGCCGCCGCGGUAAGAC